UACAGAGGUCUCAAGCGUUGUUCGGAUUCAUUGGGCGUAAAGGGUGCGUAGGCGGCGCGGUAAGUCGGGUGUGAAAUCUCGGGGCUCAACCCCGAAACUGCACUUGAUACUGUGGUGCUCGAGUACUGGAGAGGAGAUUGGAAUUUACGGUGUAGCAGUGAAAUGCGUAGAUAUCGUAAGGAAGACCAGUGGCGAAGGCGAAUCUCUGGACAGUUACUGACACUGAGGCACGAAGGCCAGGGGAGCAAACGGG
rnacentral:rRNA from 1 species